rnacentral:rRNA from 1 species
UACGUAGGGACCAAGCGUUGUUCGGAUUUACUGGGCGUAAAGGGCGCGUAGGCGGCGCGGUAAGUCACUUGUGAAAUCUCUGAGCUUAACUCAGAACGGCCAAGUGAUACUGCAGUGCUAGAGUGUGGAAGGGGCAAUCGGAAUUCUUGGUGUAGCGGUGAAAUGCGUAGAUAUUGGGAGGAACACCGGUGGCGAAGGCGGCUACCUGGACCGGUACUGACGCUGAGGCGCGAAAGCUAGGGUAGCAAACAGG